GGAGACGUGGCCGAGCGGCUGAAGGCGGCGGUUUGCUAAACCGUUAUAGGGUUGUGAAGCCCUAUCGGGGGUUCGAAUCCCCCCGUCUCCGCCA
rnacentral:tRNA from 1 species